UACGAAGGGGGCUAGCGUUGCUCGGAAUCACUGGGCGUAAAGCGCACGUAGGCAGACUCUUAAGUCGGUGGUGAAAUCCUGGAGCUCAACUCCAGAACUGCCUUCGAUACUGAGAGUCUUGAGUCCGGGAGAGGUGAGUGGAACUGCGAGUGUAGAGGUGAAAUUCGUAGAUAUUCGCAAGAACACCAGUGGCGAAGGCGGCUCACUGGCCCGGUACUGACGCUGAGGUGCGAAAGCGUGGGGAGCAAACAGG
rnacentral:rRNA from 1 species